CCAACAGGGAUUGCCUCAGUAACGGCGAGUGAAGCGGCAACAGCUCAAAUUUGAAAUCUGGCCUCUUUCGGGGUCCGAGUUGUAAUUUGUAGAGGAUGUUUCGGGCGCGGCGCCGGUCUAAGUCCCUUGGAACAGGGCGUCAUAGAGGGUGAGAAUCCCGUAUGUGACCGGCGAUCAACCCCACACGAAACCCCUUCGACGAGUCGAGUUGUUUGGGAAUGCAGCUCAAAAUGGGUGGUAAAUUUCAUCUAAAGCUAAAUACCGGCCAGAGACCGAUAGCGCACAAGUAGAGUGAUCGAAAGAUGAAAAGCACUUUGGAAAGAGAGUCAAAAAGUACGUGAAAUUGUUGAAAGGGAAGCGCUUGCAACCAGACCUGUCCGCCGGCGAUCAGCCUUCGUUCUCGGGGGUGCACUCGCCGGCGAUCAGGCCAGCAUCGGUUCGGGCGGCGGGAUAAAGGCCUUGGGAAUGUGGCUCCCCUCGGGGAGUGUUAUAGCCCUCGGUGCAAUGCCGCCAGCCCGGACCGAGGACCGCGCUUCGGCUAGGAUGCUGGCGUAAUGGUUGUAAGCGACCCGUCUUGAAACACGGACCAAGGAGUAUAAUAUCUAUGCGAGUGUUUGGGUGUUAAACCCAUGCGCGUAAUGAAAGUGAACGGAGGUGAGAACCCCUAAGGGCGCAUCAUCGACCGAUCCUGAUGUCUUCGGAUGGAUUUGAGUACGAGCAUAGCUGUUGUGACCCGAAAGAUGGUGAUCUAUACCUGAAUAGGGUGAAGCCAGAGGAAACUCUGGUGGAGGCUCGCAGCGGUUCUGACGUGCAAAUCGAUCGUCAAAUUUGGGUAUAGGGGCGCUUCCUAGGCUUUCGCCCCUUAUAGUCCCCGAGAUCUCUUGGUCUCGGGCCCUAGUUCGUUCCGAGCGAGGUCUGCGAUCUGGCGGGGAUGCUCACCACGGUGGGCUGCCCGCACCCGUCUCCAUGGAGGCCGGGCCACAGAUCAAGCGUAGGCCGGCACGCCUCUAAAAGGGGCGCGCUUUAGAUAUGAUCGGGCUGCGGCUGUCGAAGUCGCAGAUCUCCCGGAAAGACUAAUCGAACCAUCUAAACCCCAUCUACUGGAUGGUCGGAGCGGAUCCUGGCAAGGAUCCGACCAGUCCCCCUUGGGGGCCACAUCGCCAGUCUCCGGGUAUGUCUUCUGGCUACCCGUCGCGGGCCUUUCGGGGCUCGUUCACUGACUAAACGGCGGUGGCCGCGCCUUGGGCACGGUUGUGAGAUAGCCGAUUCCACCCCCGAUCCGGGGUGGUCGCAAGAGUAGCUGGUUCCUGC
rnacentral:rRNA from 1 species